GCCCGGGUAGGCAAACUGGCAAAGCCUGCGCCCUUAAAAGGCGCUGCUCGAGAGAGCUUGCGGGUUCGAGUCCCGCCCCGGGUA
rnacentral:tRNA from 1 species